CAUGCAAGUCGAACGAGCGAGAGAGAGCUUGCUUUCUCGAGCGAGUGGCGAACGGGUGAGUAACGCGUGAGGAACCUGCCUCAAAGAGGGGGACAACAGUUGGAAACGACUGCUAAUACCGCAUAAGCCCACGGUGCCGCAUGGCACAGAGGGAAAAGGAGCAAUCCGCUUUGAGAUGGCCUCGCGUCCGAUUAGCUAGUUGGUGAGGUAACGGCCCACCAAGGCGACGAUCGGUAGCCGGACUGAGAGGUUGAACGGCCACAUUGGGACUGAGACACGGCCCAGACUCCUACGGGAGGCAGCAGUGGGGAAUAUUGUACAAUGGGGGAAACCCUGAUGCAGCGACGCCGCGUGGAGGAAGAAGGUCUUCGGAUUGUAAACUCCUGUUGUUGGGGAAGAUAAUGACGGUACCCAACAAGGAAGUGACGGCUAACUACGUGCCAGCAGCCGCGGUAAAACGUAGGUCACAAGCGUUGUCCGGAAUUACUGGGUGUAAAGGGAGCGCAGGCGGGAAGACAAGUUGGAAGUGAAAUCUAUGGGCUCAACCCAUAAACUGCUUUCAAAACUGUUUUUCUUGAGUAGUGCAGAGGUAGGCGGAAUUCCCGGUGUAGCGGUGGAAUGCGUAGAUAUCGGGAGGAACACCAGUGGCGAAGGCGGCCUACUGGGCACCAACUGACGCUGAGGCUCGAAAGUGUGGGUAGCAAACAGGAUUAGAUACCCUGGUAGUCCACACCGUAAACGAUGAUUACUAGGUGUUGGAGGAUUGACCCCUUCAGUGCCGCAG
rnacentral:rRNA from 1 species